GGUGGAAUAAUCGUAUUAAAUUGUGAUUAAACUAACCACCUUGAAAACAAUGAUGAUAGUUUGACGCGUAACAAGCUAGGUGGAAGCUUGAUGAGGGAGCGGGUCAAACGAAUCAAGAAGGAAAGGAAAAAGCAUAGUUCGGACACGAGGAAAUAAAUAGCACAUGGAUGCUUACAUCGCUAUCGCUUAGCAGCCACUAAGGAAAGGUAUUGAAACGGGUCAAUAUAUUGAUCCGAGCCAGGUUCUUUUUGGAUGCCGGAAGACGAUCAAGCUCAUCGAAGGACCGAACACGAUAAAGAUACAUGCUUCCGCACAUUUCCUCGUCGCAAAUUUUUAAACGACAAAUUCGAUCACUUAUGUUGAAUAACUUAUGAUUUGUAAAAGUUUUAAUAA